AACUGAAUUCCGGUUGAAUUCAUUGAGUUCUUCUUGCAUUGCGAUGACCCAUUGAGUGGACUUCAGAGCUUCUUCAACAUCCUUGGGCUCUGUAGAUGAUAAGAAACAGCUGAAAAUCUUAUCUUCGUUGAUGCAGUUCUGAUUGAUAUCAAAGACGAGGUUGCACAUUGAUCUUCGAGUCUUGACGCCAUCUGAUGGUUCUCCAAUGAUGU
rnacentral:lncRNA from 1 species